rnacentral:rRNA from 1 species
GGAUUGACACAUCGGUCGUGCCUUAAGGGGUAUGAACUGGUGUAGUCAAUUUCUCACCUUCUGGUGAGUCGGGAUGCUCUUGGGUGUUUCGAUGAAUCAGGACCUUUACUUUGAAAAAAUCAGAGUGUUUAAAGCGGGCAUUUUUGCUUGAAUACAUUAGCAUGGAAUAAUAAAAUAGGACGAUGGUUCUAUUUUGUUGGUUUUAGGACCACAUA